UACGAAGGGAGCUAGCGUUGUUCGGAAUCACUGAGCGUAAAGCGCACGUAGGCGGCCUCUUAAGUCGGUGGUGAAAUCCUGGAGCUCAACUCCAGAACUGCCUUCGAUACUGGGAGUCUCGAGUUCGGGAGAGGUGAGUGGAACUGCGAGUGUAGAGGUGAAAUUCGUAGAUAUUCGCAAGAACACCAGUGGCGAAGGCGGCUCACUGGCCCGAUACUGACGCUGAGGUGCGAAAGCGUGGGGAGCAAACAGG
rnacentral:rRNA from 1 species